UACGUAGGAUGCAAGCGUUAUCCGGAAUUAUUGGGCGUAAAGGGCGCGUAGGCGGUUUCCUAAGUCUGAUGUGAAAGCCCCCGGCUCAACCGGGGAGGGUCAUUGGAAACUGGGGAACUUGAGUGCAGAAGAGGAGAGUGGAAUUCCAUGUGUAGCGGUGAAAUGCGCAGAGAUAUGGAGGAACACCAGUGGCGAAGGCGGCUCUCUAGUCUGUAACUGACGCUGAGGUGCGAAAGCGUGGGGAUCAAACAGG
rnacentral:rRNA from 1 species